UACAGAGGGGGCUAGCGUUGUUCGGAAUUACUGGGCGUAAAGGGCGCGUAGGCGGCCCGCUAAGUCGGACGUGAAAUCCCUCGGCUUAACCGGGGAACUGCGUCCGAUACUGGCAGGCUUGAAUCCGGGAGAGGGAUGUGGAAUUCCAGGUGUAGCGGUGAAAUGCGUAGAUAUCUGGAGGAACACCGGUGGCGAAGGCGGCAUCCUGGACCGGUAUUGACGCUGAGGCGCGAAAGCCAGGGGAGCAAACGGG
rnacentral:rRNA from 1 species